AAAGCUUUAAGUUAAUUUAAACUAUUAACCUUCAAAGUUAAAGAUAUAUAUGAUUAUAUAAGCUUUA
rnacentral:tRNA from 1 species